rnacentral:rRNA from 1 species
AUACGGAGGAUCCGAGCGUUAUCCGGAUUUAUUGGGUUUAAAGGGUGCGCAGGCGGCCAUUUAAGUCAGCGGUUAAAUCGUGGGGCUCAACCCCAUUCUGCCGUUGAUACUGGGUGGCUUGAUUGCGGUCGAGGUUGGCGGAAUUCGUUGUGUAGCGGUGAAAUGCACAGAUAUGACGAAGAACACCGAUUGCGUAGGCAGCUGACCAGACCGCAAAUGACGCUCAUGCACGAAAGUGCGGGGAUCGAACAGGAUUAGAUACCCUGGUAGUCCGCACAGUAAACGAUGAAUACUUGUUUUCGGCGAUAUAAUGUCGGAGGCAAAGCGAAAGCGAUAAGUAUUCCACCUGGGGAGUACGCCGGCAACGGUGAAACUCAAAGGAAUUGACGGGG